rfam:Pteropus alecto contig48267, whole genome shotgun sequence.
GUCUGCGGUCACGCCACCCUGAACAAGCCCGAUGUCUGAUCCCGGAAGCUAAGCAGAGUCGGGCCUGGUUAGAACUUGGAUGGGAGACCACCUAGGAAGACCAGGUGCUGCAGGUG